rnacentral:misc_RNA from 1 species
AACGCAUAUUGCACUCUCUGGUAAUCCGGGGAGUAUGCCUGUUUGAGGGUCAGUAAAUAAUAAUUAUCAUAAUCUUUUGAUUGUGGAAUUGGGCUUUUAUUUCAUUUUAAUGAUUUAUGGCCUUAAAUUUAUGUUACCGCUUGUUUAAUGAAAUUCGACCGAAUGGAGCAAUUAAACAUUCUCUCGUUAGGCGGAUUCCAUCAAGCAAUUACGAUUUUUGGCCGUCGAAGCACUUUUUUUUUAGAAGUGCUUGGUCGAGAUUGUAAGAUACAUUUAACAAUGACCUCAAAUCAGGCAAGAAUACCCGCUGAACUUAA